rnacentral:rRNA from 1 species
UACCUGCAAGUCGAGCGGAUGAAGGGAGCUUGCUCCUGGAUUCAGCGGCGGACGGGUGAGUAAUGCCUAGGAAUCUGCCUGGUAGUGGGGGAUAACGUCCGGAAACGGGCGCUAAUACCGCAUACGUCCUGAGGGAGAAAGUGGGGGAUCUUCGGACCUCACGCUAUCAGAUGAGCCUAGGUCGGAUUAGCUAGUUGGUGGGGUAAAGGCCUACCAAGGCGACGAUCCGUAACUGGUCUGAGAGGAUGAUCAGUCACACUGGAACUGAGACACGGUCCAGACUCCUACGGGAGGCAGCAGUGGGGAAUAUUGGACAAUGGGCGAAAGCCUGAUCCAGCCAUGCCGCGUGUGUGAAGAAGGUCUUCGGAUUGUAAAGCACUUUAAGUUGGGAGGAAGGGCAGUAAGUUAAUA